rnacentral:rRNA from 1 species
UAUGGGACCUUGUAUGAUUGGCAUAAUGAGGGCUUGCUGUCUCCUCUUUCAACGUCAAUGNNNUUGAUCUCCCCGUGCAGAAGCGGGGAUAAACACAUAAGACGAGAAGACCCUAUGGAGCUUUAGACACUAAAGCAGAUCAGCAUUAAUCCCCUGAACAUAGGGCACGAAUAGACUGAUCCCUGCCCUAAAUGUCUUUGGUUGGGGCGACCGCGGAGAAAUAUAAAACCCCCGCAAAGACCGAGUGUACUACACUCACAACCAAGAGCAACAGCUCUAAAUUAACAGAACUUCUGACCAGUAAGAUCCGGCAAUGCCGAUCAAUGAACCGAGUUACCCUAAGGAUAACAGCGCAAUCUCCUCUUAGAGCCCAUAUCGACGAGGAGGUUUACGAACUCGAUGUUGGAUCAGGACAUCCUAAUGGUGCAACCGCUAUUAGGGUUCGUUUGUUCAACG